rnacentral:rRNA from 1 species
GAUGAACGCUGGCGGCGUGCCUAAUACAUGCAAGUCGAGCGAACGGACGAGAAGCUUGCUUCUCUGAUGUUAGCGGCGGACGGGUGAGUAACACGUGGAUAACCUACCUAUAAGACUGGGAUAACUUCGGGAAACCGGAGCUAAUACCGGAUGAUAUUUUGAACCGCAUGGUUCAAAAGUGAAUGACGGUUUUGCUGUCACUUAUAGAUGGAUUCGCGUUGGAUUAGCUAGUUGGUAAGGUAACGGCCUACCAAGGCAACGAUGCAUAGCUGACCUGAGAGGAUGAUCAGCCACACUGGAACUGAGACACGGUCCAGACUCCUACGGGAGGCAGCAGUGGGGAAUAUUGGACAAUGGGCGAAAGCCUGAUGCAGCAAUACCGCGUGGGUGAUGAAGGUCUUCGGGUUGUAAAGCCCUUUUAUUGGGAAAGAACAGCAGUAGAUGAAUCUCUGGCUGUUCUGACGGUACCCAAAGAGUAAGCACCGGCUAACUUCGUG